rnacentral:lncRNA from 1 species
AGGCAGGGAAAGUGGGUAUGGAACACUGCACAUAAUUCAGACUUCAUUGAUGUGCUGGUCAGUUUUGCUGAUCAUUUUUUUCUUUUUUUUAAUUCUCUGUUACAAGAGAUGAUUUGUUGGGAGAGUGGGGAGGGCUAUAAUGAGAAAUGAAAGUGUGGAGGUGAAAAAUAUAUUGUAGGGUUCCUUCUGGGCUACACUUCCAAUUUAUAUUCAUGUAUUGGGUCCCUAGAGGAUGGGCUGAUACUCCCAGGAUCAUGUUCCUUGUGAGUCUAUCCUAGAAUUAUAAUAGUUCAUGAGCCCCCACUGAUGAGCUUUCCAUCAACAAUCAGCCGGUAGACACAAAUUGUUUGAAGUAAAUUCCUUUCCUAAGAUGAUAUAAAAAGAACAAGAGCUACCAAGCAUCUGCCCAAUAAACUCGGGAAACACACAUAGUGUCCAUGACAAAAGUGGGCACAGUAUUGAGAAUACAAUGCGGGUGAAGCUUCCAUGUAAGGAAUACUUAUGACUGCUCACACCUCCUGACCUGCAGAGCCUGGAUAUCCUCCUUCCUUGGUGAAAUUCUCAGGUUGCUCCUCACUGGGUGUAGAAGUUAUUUGGGGUGGGCAGGAGGGUCCCCCAAAGUCUGUUAUUCUCUUCAAUACAGCUCACAGUCUAGCUCUCUGUCAGGUUCUUAGCUGGAUCUCUUAGAACUUAGAACAGCCAUGUGGAACCUAGUUUUGCUUCUUUGUAUGCAGUAUGGUUUCUACUGUCUCUAUUUUUCUCUAGAAAAAUACAGUCUCUAGACUGUAUCUCUGCUCUCUAAUAGAUACAAUGAGUCCUACCGAUCAAAUAGCUAAACUUUAAAGACCCUGGUCAAAGGGGUUAUUUUGGGGGAGAGGGGAGAGAAGAAGAAAAUCCUUCCCUUCUCCUAAGAGACGAAGCCCGAUUGCCAUUGCUGCUAGAGUUGGCAAAUUUGCUUUUUUUUUUUUACCAGGUGAUCUAGGCAGACAGCCUGCACAUUUUUAUUGGGUUCCACAAAAACGUUCCACGCUUGGAAAGCUCCCUCCCACGCUUACAAAGCACACUCCCCCGCAAUGAAUCGUUCUGGAAUGGUCGCGCAAUCCACUGAAGAAGAGAUGAUGUCACUCACACGAGCCUCCGCCAAGCCGAAGGCCAACAUUGAAUCUCCUGAAGAUGUUUAACAAACAAGCACCUUAAUGAAGAGGAAAGACAGACGGACAGUCCUUAAAUAACAAGUAUUUUCAGCAGAAAGAAAACCAAGAAGCCUAAAUCUCCAGCUCGAAGAUGUGAAUUCUGCCAAGGCCGCGGCCAUUCUGAUGCUUCAGCCACAGCCGCGGCCUCGGCAGAUGCAGAGAUGGGAGCCACCCGAGGAUGAACCUAACACGGUCGGCGAGGCCUUUACCACGAUACUGGACAAA